rnacentral:rRNA from 1 species
AGAGUUUGAUCCUGGCUCAGAACGAACGCUGGCGGCAGGCUUAACACAUGCAAGUCGAACGCAUCCUUCGGGGUGAGUGGCAGACGGGUGAGUAACGCGUGGGAACGUGCCCUUCAGUUCGGAAUAACCCAGGGAAACUUGGGCUAAUACCGGAUACGUGCGAGAGCAGAAAGAUUUAUCGCUGAAGGAUCGGCCCGCGUCUGAUUAGCUAGUUGGUGGGGUAAUGGCCCACCAAGGCGACGAUCAGUAGCUGGUCUGAGAGGAUGAUCAGCCACAUUGGGACUGAGACACGGCCCAAACUCCUACGGGAGGCAGCAGUGGGGAAUAUUGGACAAUGGGCGCAAGCCUGAUCCAGCCAUGCCGCGUGAGUGAUGAAGGCCUUAGGGUUGUAAAGCUCUUUCGUCCGGGACGAUAAUGACGGUACCGGAAGAAGAAGCCCCGGCUAACUUCGUGCCAGCAGCCGCGGUAAUACGAAGGGGGCUAGCGUUGUUCGGAAUCACUGGGCGUAAAGGGCGCGUAGGCGGCUUUGUAAGUCGGGGGUGAAAGCCUGUGGCUCAACCACAGAAUUGCCUUCGAUACUGCAUGGCUUGAGACCGGAAGAGGUAAGUGGAACUGCGAGUGUAGAGGUGAAAUUCGUAGAUAUUCGCAAGAACACCAGUGGCGAAGGCGGCUUACUGGUCCGGUUCUGACGCUGAGGCGCGAAAGCGUGGGGAGCAAACAGGAUUAGAUACCCUAGUAGUCC